GCAGAGAUGAUCAGUUCUGAUACUUAGUUUUUUGCCUUUGUGUUGCCCAUUCAUUCCUGUCCAGAAUGAAUGUGGUGUCAAAAAAGGCAAACAGGAAUUCUUGCUCAAACUUAAGGAGCUGGUUGUUUACCUUUCUCCUCCCUGUUUUUGCAAGGACAAAAAAAAUCCCUAGAAAUUGUAUGGUUGAGCAGUUACAUAGUAGAUUUUAUGCUUCAGUCUUUUUAAAUGAAGAAUCUGACAGUUAUUAAAAGAGAAAAAACUAAAAUGAUAAUGGCCAAGUCUAGCAUUGUUUAGCUGUCUUGUCUAUCAUGAUAACUUACAUCUGUGCUGGCAAGUAAUCACUACAUAAUUCAGACUCCUGCAGUGGCCUCUAGUUUUUCUAUUGCAAAAGGAUAUCUCCAGCUUCAGAAUACUCAGCUACAGAAAAGAUUGAAAUCUUCUUUAACAGGGAAAAAUGUGUUUUGCCUUUGUGCAUUUGCCCUUUUGUUAUUUAUGUCUGGUGUCAGAAAAGUAUAAAGAGAAUCCCUCUGUAGGCCUGUUCGGUAUUGGAUAAUAAUGUAUUCAACUCCUUUGCUGUACAUAGAACAGUCUUUCCUUGAUGCACUUUUGAAAGUGUGAAGUAUACUUUAAUAUUGCUAGCAGCAGUGGCUCUUACCUUGGUGAUCGUGGGGUCUGUUCCUACCAGAAAGCUUAAUGCUGUGAACGCUUCUUACAGAGUUGUAGUGUGUUUUGCUGGAAGUUCAGAAGCUCACAGAGAUAGCCCUGUGUGGUGAAAGCCUCUGAGCAUGAGAAGGGCAUAUAGGAAAAAGUUACAAAGUACUGAUUGCUCAGCUGUGCUGCAACUUCCAUCAUGAGGAAGGAAUGUACCAGAAAUCUUCAGUGGAGUGAUGCAAUUCCUUCAAGCUGGUCACAGUGCCCUUGAAAAUACUAGAAUCGGAAAGUUUCAUGCAUUGAAAUGUGAAGAUCUACUUGAGCAACGUGAAAAACACAGAUGCACUUAAUGCUUUACCAGUGCUGUUGAUGGAAAAUGAACUGGUGAAAUGUAUCCCAGACCUCUAGCACCAUAGGCACUGGGGGUUUUUGGAAGGCUGAAGAAUAAGAUGGGCACUCUUUUUAUGCGAAUCUGUCAGACACUGGGAAGCGAAAUGUGUAUUCCACUGAAGAAUUUUUAGAACCAGCCUGACAUCAGUGGCAGUCAAUGCCAGACUACUCCGUAAGAAACAAAAAGCUGUUAAAAAGAUGGAAUAUUAAGCCUGCAUGUAGUACCACAGGGUGCUUUUAACUGUAUUGGGGCAGUGUCUGGUAAUGUUUAUAUAGACAAAAAAUAAAGAUUUGUG